rnacentral:rRNA from 1 species
UAUGUGAUCGUCUCUCGCAUAUCAAUAAGCGGAGGAAAAGAAACUAACAAGGAUUCCCUUAGUAACGGCGAGUGAAGCGGGAAGAGCUCAAAUUUGAAAUCUUCAAGGUUUUACCUUGACGAAUUGUAGUUUAAAGAAGUGUUUUCUGUUGAAGUUUUGGUAAAAGUUCUUUGGAAUAGGACAUCAUAGAGGGUGAGAAUCCCGUAUUUGACCAUUAUUUUCAGCUGUGUGAUACACUUUCAAAGAGUCGGAUUGUUUGGGAAUGCAGUCCAAAAUGGGUGGUAAAUUUCAUCUAAAGCUAAAUAUUGGCGAGAGACCGAUAGCGAACAAGUACCGUGAGGGAAAGAUGAAAAGAACUUUGAAAAGAGAGUUAAACAGUACGUGAAAUUGCCAAAAGGGAAGCGUUUGACACCAGUGUUGUUUUCUUGAAAAUCAAUUAAAAAGAGUUAGAUUUUGUUGUGUAUUGACCUUAACAGCUUGCAUUUCAAUUUUCUUGCUUUUUUUAAUGCACUCUUCGUUUAACAAGUCAACAUCAGUUUCUUUUGUUGUAAAAAGGUCAUUGGAAGGUGGCUUUCUUUUCGGAGAAAGUGUUUAUAGCCUUUGACUCCUGCAAUCGGAGAGACUGAGGUCUGCAGCGUAGAUCCUUCGGGGUUAGAUACAUUUGUGCUAAGUUAUAGCUUUUUAUAGACAACUUGUUGACUAUGAUUAGUCUUGUAGCUUACUCGCUUAUGCUAUUUUACCUACGCUUAGGAUGUUGAAGAUGUAGCACAUCAUACACGCAUGACACACUGCAUAUCAAUAAGCGGAGGAAAAGUACCUACGCUUAGGAUGUUGAAGUCAUCGUAUCGCGCAUGCUCGAUCUAUACAUGACUGCGCAUAUCAAUAAGCGGAGGAAAAGGCUGCGGAACUGAACGACCGCUACCUACGCUUAGGAUGUUGAAGACUCUACAGAGAUA